UACGAAGGGGGCUAGCGUUGCUCGGAAUCACUGGGCGUAAAGGGUGCGUAGGCGGGUCUUUAAGUCAGGGGUGAAAUCCUGGAGCUCAACUCCAGAACUGCCUUUGAUACCGAAGAUCUUGAGUUCGGGAGAGGUGAGUGGAACUGCGAGUGUAGAGGUGAAAUUCGUAGAUAUUCGCAAGAACACCAGUGGCGAAGGCGGCUCACUGGCCCGAUACUGACGCUGAGGCACGAAAGCGUGGGGAGCGAACAGG
rnacentral:rRNA from 1 species